rnacentral:rRNA from 1 species
ACGGCGACCGGCGCACGGGUGAGUAACACGUAUGCGACCUGCCCGUAGCAGGGGGAUAAGCGGAAGAAAUUCCGUCUAAUACCGCGUAAUAUCUUUCGGGGGCAUCCCUGAGGGAUUAAAGGGAGCGAUUCCGGCUACGGAUGGGCAUGCGGCGCAUUAGCUAGUCGGCGGGGUAACGGCCCACCGAGGCGACGAUGCGUAGGGGUUCUGAGAGGAAGGUCCCCCACACUGGUACUGAGACACGGACCAGACUCCUACGGAAGGCAGCAG